GGCAAUGUCAACAAAGCUGAUGUUUCGGAAAGCAUGAAAUGCGGAAAAAGCUUGGGUUUUCGUCUAUCAAAUCUAUCUAGCGGUACAACAAGGCUUCUUUGACCCAAAGAAGGCGAUAGUGAACUGUGUCAUACUGAACUUACUCUGCCAACAAUCACUCGAAUGAAGGAAUCACAAUCGCAUCACCAUGAUCACCCCACCCUACCAGUACCAUGCCCACGACAACUCUCGUCUGAUCUGCCCAGGUAUUCCUGUUUUUGUGGACACAUGAAGUCAAGAUAAAGGAGAAUAUAGAACAUUUUAUAUCUGCUAAAUGGGGACUUGAGAAGACUUGGAACUACAUGUAUAGGGAUGGAGCUGACAGAUGCUCUAAAGGCCAGUCUAUAAUAUGGUGUACCACUGCAGCCCUCUCAUGCGGUGUCCUAACUUAUGGAUCAUCCGCUAUCAUUAAGUGAACCAGAACAUCAUAUCAGCAAUGAGCGGGUAGCCCAUUUGAACCAAUAUUUUGUUCCAUAAAGGACAAUCACGAAACAGGCAGACAAAACUACAGGUUUGAAAAUAAAUGGAAGAAAAUCACUGGACACAGUAUAAUUUCCUAUCCCAGUAUUGCUGAAACUCUGGCAUUGUCAACAAACUCCAUGUGGAAUUAUGGAUAAAAGAUUUGAAUGAAAAACUAUUUGUGCAUUAUUCUAAAGGAAUUAUGGAUUCUAUUUCAGAAGACUUUUUUCAGUUGAAGUUGGAUACAAAAAGAGACAUUUAUCCUCAGUCUAUUUGAAAUGUCAAUGGCAUCAAUUAUGUCUUUUGAAUGAUGAAGUUUUCCACAUA